CAUUACCGAGUUUACAACUCCCAAACCCCUGUGAACAUACCAAUUGUUGCCUCGGCGGAUCAGCCCGCUCCCGGUAAAACGGGACGGCCCGCCAGAGGACCCCCAAACUCUGUUUCUAUAUGUAACUUCUGAGUAAAACCAUAAAUAAAUCAAAACUUUCAACAACGGAUCUCUUGGUUCUGGCAUCGAUGAAGAACGCAGCAAAAUGCGAUAAGUAAUGUGAAUUGCAGAAUUCAGUGAAUCAUCGAAUCUUUGAACGCACAUUGCGCCCGCCAGUAUUCUGGCGGGCAUGCCUGUUCGAGCGUCAUUUCAACCCUCAAGCCCAGCUUGGUGUUGGGACUCGCGAGUCAAAUCGCGUUCCCCAAAUUGAUUGGCGGUCACGUCGAGCUUCCAUAGCGUAGUAGUAAAACCCUCGUUACUGGUAAUCGUCGCGGCCACGCCGUUAAACCCCAACUUCUGAAUGUUGACCUCGGAUCAGGUAGGAAUACCCGCUGAACUUAAGCAUAUCAACGGCGAGUGAAGCGGCAACAGCUCAAAUUUGAAAUCUGGCUCUCGGGCCCGAGUUGUAAUUUGUAGAGGAUACUUUUGAUGCGGUGCCUUCCGAGUUCCCUGGAACGGGACGCCAUAGAGGGUGAGAGCCCCGUCUGGUUGGAUGCCAAAUCUCUGUAAAGUUCCUUCGACGAGUCGAGUAGUUUGGGAAUGCUGCUCUAAAUGGGAGGUAUAUGUCUUCUAAAGCUAAAUACCGGCCAGAGACCGAUAGCGCACAAGUAGAGUGAUCGAAAGAUGAAAAGCACUUUGAAAAGAGAGUUAAAAAGUACGUGAAAUUGUUGAAAGGGAAGCGUUUAUGACCAGACUUGGGCUUGGUUAAUCAUCUGGGGUUCUCCCCAGUGCACUUUUCCAGUCCAGGCCAGCAUCAGUUUUCCCCGGGGGAUAAAGACUUCGGGAAUGUGGCUCUCUUCGGGGAGUGUUAUAGCCCGUUGUGUAAUACCCUGGGGGGGACUGAGGUUCGCGCAUCUGCAAGGAUGCUGGCGUAAUGGUCAUCAACGACCCGUCUU
rnacentral:rRNA from 1 species